UGGGGAAUAUUGCACAAUGGGCGCAAGCCUGAUGCAGCCAUGCCGCGUGUGUGAAGAAGGCCUUCGGGUUGUAAAGCACUUUCAGCGAGGAGGAAGGUGGUGAGCUUAAUACGCUCAUCAAUUGACGUUACUCGCAGAAGAAGCACCGGCUAACUCCGUGCCAGCAGCCGCGGUAAUACGGAGGGUCGCAAGCGUUAAUCGGAAUUACUGGGCGUAAAGCGCACGCAGGCGGUUUGUUAAGUCAGAUGUGAAAUCCCCGGGCUCAACCUGGGAACUGCAUUUGAAACUGGCAAGCUAGAGUCUCGUAGAGGGGGGUAGAAUUCCAGGUGUAGCGGUGAAAUGCGUAGAGAUCUGGAGGAAUACCGGCGGCGAAGGCGGCCCCCCUGGACGAAGACUGACGCUCAGGUGCGAAAGCGUGGGGCAGCAAACAGGAUUAGAUACCCUGGUAGUCCACGCUGUAAACGAUGUCGAUUUGGAGGUUGUGCCCUUGAGGCGUGGNUUCCGGAGCUAACG
rnacentral:rRNA from 1 species